UUAAACCAUUAGUCAUACCAUACUUAGUUACAUUGCCCAAUGGUUAUAAGGUCAAGGUAACAUGUACUGGAUCCAUACAAUUCCUUUGCUUCACUCUACAUCACGUCCUUUAUAUUCCCAGCUUUCAUUACAAUCUUAUCUCUGUGUCCAAGCUUGUGUACCAGUUAAAUUCUACUGUCCUAUUUACUAAGUUCUCUUACUUGAUACAGGCCCCUUCUCUGAAGAGGCCACUGGAAAUUGGUAAAUUGGAUGAUGGACUUUAGUCCAAGCUUGUGUACCAGUUAAAUUCUAUUGUCCUAUUUACUAAGUUCUCUUGCUUGAUACAUGCCCCUUCUCUGAAGAGGCCACUGGAAAUUGGUAAUUGGAUGAUGGACUUUACAGGCUUGUGCAAUCUUCUUCUUCUUCUCUUCAAUCUCAUGCUCCUUGUAAAUACCAUUCUCCAUUAGCUGUUGAUUCUGUUUCUUCCUCUCAUUGUACAUAUCAUUCUGAACGAAUAAAAUGGAGAUGUUAUGGCAUAAUAGACUAGGGGAUAUACCUUUUGUUAGGAUGAAAGACAUCUCUCAUAUACCACGUAGGUUUUCAACUAAGCAACCUUUCAUCUGUACUGUUUGCCCAUUAGCCAGGCAGUCUAGAUUGCCUUUUCCUGACAGUUCCAUUAAGACAACACAUGCUUUUCAACUCAUCCAUGUGGAUACCUGGGGUCCGUAUACCACUCCCACUCAUAAUGGAUGUAAAUAUUUCCUAACAAUAGUUGAUGAUUUUACUAGAGCUACUUGGACUCACCUUAUGGGGUCCAAGAGCAAUGCCUUUCCCAUUAUCAAAGCUUUCAUUGCCAUGAACAAAACCUAAUUCCAUUCUGUUGUACAAACCAUUAGAAGUGACAAUGCAUUUGAACUUGGGUCUAGUGGUUGUGGAAGCAAUUUCUUUGCUGAAAAUGGAAUAAUGCACCAAACUUCCUGUUAUCACACGCCACAACAAAAUGGUGUGAUUGAAAGAAAACAUAGAUAUCUGCUAGAAACCUCAAGAGACUUACUUUUUCAUUCCCAACUACCCAUUAGAUUCUGGGGAGAUUGUGUUCUUACUGCAACCUACCUCAUAAAUAGAUUUCCUUCCAAACUUCUUAACAAUAAAUCACCUUUGAGCUGCUUUUUGGACAGUUUCCUUCUUAUAGCCAUCUUAAAACAUUUGGUUGUCUUUGUUUUGCCUCAGUCCCCAAACAGAAUAGGGAUAA
rnacentral:lncRNA from 1 species